UUCUUUCCAUAACAAUGGCAGAAAAAUGUAGUGUAACUUUGUUAGGUGUAAUGGAUCGUCUGUGGUUUCACCAAAUUAUUCUCUUUUCAGAACCUCCUUCAGUUUCAUUUCCUAAAACUCUUGAAAAACCCCUGCCUAUUCAAGAAUUCCUUACAUUUUGUCCUAAAAACCAGUGUCAAACAACUUUAUUUCCACAGGAAGAAUUCUCAUCAGUUGAAUCAGAAAACAGUGCUCUUCUACAGGUAACAAAUAAUUAGGCUAUUGUUCUCUAUACCCCCUAUCCUCCCCACCAAAAAAAAAAAAAAGAGAGAGAGAGAAAAGAAAAGAAAUUUGUUCUAGAGAUAUGAGAAAGAAGAUGAACAUAAGUUUUUCCACGAAAAAUGUAGUGUAACUUUGUUAGGUGUAAUGGAUCGUCUGUGGUUUCACCAAAUUAUUCUCUUUUCAGAACCUCCUUCAGUUUCAUUUCCUAAAACUCUUGAAAAACCCCUGCCUAUUCAAGAAUUCCUUACAUUUUGUCCUAAAAACCAGUGUCAAACAACUUUAUUUCCACAGGAAGAAUUCUCAUCAGUUGAAUCAGAAAACAGUGCUCUUCUACAG
rnacentral:lncRNA from 1 species